rnacentral:rRNA from 1 species
ACAAUGGAGAGUUUGAUCCUGGCUCAGGAUGAACGCUAGCGGCAGGCCUAAUACAUGCAAGUCGAACGGCAUCCCGGUGCUUGCACCGGGAGCGAGUGGCGCACGGGUGCGUAACGCGUAUGCAACCUACCCUGUACUGGGGAAUAGCCUGUGGAAACAUAGAUUAAUACCCCAUAAUAUUAUUUGUCUACCUGGACGAAUGAUUAAAGUUCCGACGGUACGGGAUGGGCAUGCGUCUGAUUAGCUAGAUGGUGAGGUAACGGCUCACCAUGGCGACGAUCAGUAGCGGGUCUGAGAGGAUGAUCCGCCACACUGGUACUGAGACACGGACCAGACUCCUACGGGAGGCAGCAGUAGGGAAUAUUGGUCAAUGGGCGAGAGCCUGAACCAGCCAUGCCGCGUGAAGGAAGACGGCCUUCUGGGUUGUAAACUUCUUUUACCAGGGAACAAAUGUAUCCAUGCGUGGGUAUUUGAGUGUACCUGGAGAAUAAGCACCGGCUAACUCCGUGCCAGCAGCCGCGGUAAUACGGAGGGUGCAAGCGUUGUCCGGAUUUAUUGGGUUUAAAGGGUGCGUAGGCGGGACAAUAAGUCAGUGGUGAAAGCCCACAGCUCAACUGUGGAACUGCCAUUGAAACUGUUGUUCUUGAGUACGGAAUAGGUAAGCGGAAUUUAUGGUGUAGCGGUGAAAUGCAUAGAUACCAUAAAGAACACCGAUAGCGAAGGCAGCUUACUGGGCCGUUACUGACGCUGAGGCACGAAAGCGUGGGG